UACAGAGGGUGCAAGCGUUGUUCGGAAUUAUUGGGCGUAAAGGGCGCGUAGGCGGCACUGCAAGUCAGUUGUGAAAUCUCCGGGCUUAACCCGGAAAGGUCAACUGAUACUGCAGGGCUAGAGUGCAGAAGGGGCAACUGGAAUUCUCGGUGUAGCGGUGAAAUGCGUAGAUAUCGAGAGGAACACCUGCGGCGAAGGCGGGUUGCUGGGCUGACACUGACGCUGAGGCGCGAAAGCCAGGGGAGCGAACGGG
rnacentral:rRNA from 1 species